GACGAACGCUGACGGCGUGCUUAACACAUGCAAGUCGAAGGGAGUGGCGAACGGGUGAGUAACACGUGAGUAACCUGCCCUUUUCUUUGGGAUAAGCCUGGGAAACUGGGUCUAAUACUGGAUGGCUUGGGAUGGGCUCGCGGCUUAUCAGCUUGUUGGUGGGGUGAUGGCUUACCAAGGCUUUGACGGGUAGCCGGCCUGAGAGGGUGGUCGUUCCCACGUGGCGUGAGAUACGGCCCGGACUCCUCCGGGAGGCAGCAGUGGGGGAUAGUGCACAAGGGACGAAAGUCUGAUGCAGCGACGGCGUGUGGUGGAUGAAGGCCUUCGGGUUGUAAACUCCUUUCGCCCGCGGAAUGGUAGUGGGUAAAGAAGCGCCGGCUAACUACGUGCCAGCCGCCGCGGUAAUUC
rnacentral:rRNA from 1 species